rnacentral:rRNA from 1 species
GACGAGCGCUGGCGGCGUGCUUAACACAUGCAAGUCGAACGGUAAGGCCCUUCGGGGUACACGAGUGGCGAACGGGUGAGUAACACGUGGGUGAUCUGCCCUGCACUUCGGGAUAAGCCUGGGAAACUGGGUCUAAUACCGGAUAGGACUCCUGGCUUCAUGGUUGGGGGUGGAAAGCUUUUGCGGUGUGGGAUGGGCCCGCGGCCUAUCAGCUUGUUGGUGGGGUAAUGGCCUACCAAGGCGACGACGGGUAGCCGGCCUGAGAGGGUGACCGGUCACACUGGGACUGAGAUACGGCCCAGACUCCUACGGGAGGCAUCAGUGGGGAAUAUUGCACAAUGGGCGCAAGCCUGAUGCAGCGACGCCGCGUGAGGGAUGACGGCCUUCAGGUUGUAAACCUCUUUCAGCUAUGACGAAGCGCAAGUGACGGUAGUAGCAGAAGAAGGACCGGCCAACUACGUGCCAGCCGCCGCCGUAA